AUACUGGAAGAACUACAUUAUAUCCCAGAGACAGAUGUUAGCACCACCCAAAUUGUUAUUCAGAAUCAGGACACAUUCAGCUUAAAAAUUUCCAACAGAAGUAGAGAAGACAAAGUUCUCUUCCAGUUGACCUGCUGUGGUCAGUCCACUGCCAAAGAGGAUGGGCAAGCAUAAGAGUAUCAUCCCAGAGGUUCCUUUGGUUUUCCCAGGUGGCUUGAGGUCACACCUGCGGCUGGCAUUGUCAAACCUGAUCAAGCCGCUGAGAUCUUAGUUCGUCAUGAGGAUAGCCAGUCAUUAGGAGAUUCUGUUGAUGGCAUUCCUCAAAGCUGGUGGUCUGAGGAUACAAAAGACAAGGAGGUAGUUUUGAUGAUCAGUAUUAAAGCGAGUCAGUCAACUGAGGCCAGAACACAUCAAGUACAUGUGCGCCACAGCUUCACACCUGAUGCAGUUUGCGUGAACUCAAAGAACAGUAGGAGUAACCAAGGAAGCUCCCAUCAUAGGUCUGCACUAAAACAUGUUGGCAGUACCUCGAAUAAGAUGAAAGACCAUCAAAACAUUCGGGUUCCUUGAUAGCUACAUGAAAACCUAAGAAGCUACAAAUACAAUUGCAUCACCAGAGGAUUCCAACCAGUUUGGAUUUUCGUUGCUGUCAAUACUUGAUAGGAUCUUGAUGUAAAUACUCAUACACAAUUAGUAUAAAAGCUUGUUUUCCGGCUCAGAGAAUGCUGCCAAAAAGUAUAAGAUUUGCUCAUCCAUUUUUUGUUAGAAUCAGGUCCUAAAUACUGUUUAUAAUACUUAUCUUUGACUGAAGACUUAUGAUCAAUUUUCCGUUGUGAUCACUGGAAAUCUGUUUGUGCUUCACCAAGAGGACAAUUUGUUUGUUA